rnacentral:rRNA from 1 species
UACGAAGGGGGCUAGCGUUGUUCGGAAUUACUGGGCGUAAAGCGCACGUAGGCGGGUGGUUAAGUCAGGGGUGAAAUCCCGGAGCUCAACUCCAGAACUGCCUUUGAUACUGGCCAUCUAGAGAUCGGAGGAGGUGAGUGGAAUUCCCAGUGUAGAGGUGAAAUUCGUAGAUAUUGGGAAGAACACCAGUGGCGAAGGCGGCUCACUGGUCCGAUACCGACGCUGAGGUGCGAAAGCGUGGGGAGCAAACAGG